rnacentral:rRNA from 1 species
AGCAGCCGCCGCGGUAAUGCGUAGGUGGCGAGCGUUGUCCGGAAUCAUUGGGCGUAAAGCGAGCGCAGGCGGUUAGAUAAGUCUGAAGUUAAAGGCUGUGGCUUAACCAUAAUAUGCUUUGGAAACUGUUUAACUUGAGUGCAGAAGGGGAGAGUGGAAUUCCAUGUGUAGCGGUGAAAUGCGUAGAUAUAUGGAGGAACACCAGUGGCGAAGGCGGCUUUCUGGACUGCAACUGACGCUGAGGCUCGAAAGCCAGGGGAGCGAACGGGAUUAGAUACCCGUGUAGUCCCUGUCUCUUAUACA